rnacentral:rRNA from 1 species
AACGAGACCUUAACCUGCUAAAUAGUCAGGCUGGCUUUUGCUGGUCGCAGACUUCUUAGAGGGACUGUCAGUGUCUAACUGACGGAAGUUUGAGGCAAUAACAGGUCUGUGAUGCCCU